AAUCAGCCAAGCCAUAUAAAAGUAGGCUCCCUGCCCACCUCCAUACUUAAAUCGCCGCCUUCGUCUACGUCUGUCUCUCUCACUCAGCUGCGACUUUUAGAUUCUCUCUCUAUCGCCACUCGCCGCCUCGAAGCCGCAAUGGCUUUGUCGAACCAACAGACUGUUGAUUAUCCAAGCUUCAAGCUCGUCAUCGUCGGCGAUGGAGGCACUGGAAAAACCACUUUCGUGAAGAGGCAUCUCACUGGUGAAUUCGAGAAGAAAUAUGAGCAUAAGAGACUUUUCUGACAUUUCCGUCCAUUGCGCCGUGUUGUUAGUUUAUUGUUAUAAUUAGUUUGACCUUGAUAUGUUUGCUUAUACUUAACAUUCAUUUUCUGUUACUUUUCUAUGCAAACAGCCACCAUUGGUGUGGAGGUUCAUCCACUGGACUUCUUCACAAAUUGUGGAAGGAUCCGCUUUUACUUCUGGGACACUGCUGGGCAAGAGAAGUUUGGCGCUCUUCGAGAUGGUCGCUACAUUCAUGGGCAAUGUGCAACUACAACUUAGAAACCCUCCUCUACUUGGCAAGGAAGCUUGCAGGUGACGCAAAUCUUCAUUUCGUCGAGUCUCCGACCCUUGCUCCUCCAGAAGUGCACUUUGACAUGGCUGCCUAACAAUAGCAUGAAGCUGAGCUUGCGGCAACAGCUGCCCAACCUCUUCCUGAUGACGAUGACGAGGCAUUUGAAUGGACGGGGAGAUGAUGCAUUUCAAUAUACCGUGGCAUUUUUCUUCUAGGACAUGGCUUUCAUUCAUUCUGUCAAGAUUUGAUUUUCAAAGUGUCAUGUGUUAGAACAAAGGGCCUCUUUUAGUCAGAUUCAACUACAGCUACUAUUAGGUGAUCUUUCAAUGGUAAUUUCAAGUCGUAAUUCUAGCCUAUCUAAAGGUGAUGGAGGAACAUAUAAGCAUGUCAGCUCUUUGGAAUGCUCUUCUGAUGAAUCUUUGCAGGGGUAAGCAGAGUAUGCAGAAAUUUUUUUGUUUGUUUUGAAAUUUAUUUUUUUCAAUGUUUUUAGGUUUAAUUUGUAUCUGUUUUGGAAUGAUGUUUAACUUUAUUGAACAUAUUAGGAUUCGGUAUUAUUGAGUUGUUUGAAUAUGAAGAAUCUCUUGACAUAAUUGGUUAGUAUUUUUAUUUGUUUUCUGUAUUAGCAUUUUUUUUUGGUAAUGUGAGCUUCUAUUAAGUUUUUUGUUCCAUUCAACUCUAAAUAAAAUUAAAUGUCCGAGAUCAGGGAAGUUAAUUGCUGACUUAAAACCUGAUAAUGUUUUAUUGCUUGAUGAUACUUAGGAAGUCACUGAUUUUGGUUUAGGUGAGUUUUGUGGUUUUAUAUGUUUUGUCAUAAUGCAUGUGAGAAAUCUUUUGUUUUUGUUGAAAUGGAAGAAAUUUCUAUUGAAAACUUUUCUAUGCAAAAGUUCAUUUUUGUUUUUCGUAGUCUUUUGCAUAAGUGAACAAUUUGGUAAAGAUAAUGAAAAACGUAACUGAACUUUUUCAUAGAAAAGUCUUCAAAAGAAAUUUCUUCUAUUUCAACAAAGACAAAAGAUUUCUCACAUGCAUUAUUCUAAAACAUAUAAAACCACAAAACUCACCUAAACCAAAAUCAGCGACUUUUCAAGUAUCAUCAAGCAGUAAAACAUUGUCAGGUUUUAAGUCAGCAAUUAACUUCCCUGACCUCGGACAUUUAAUUUUAUUUAGACCUGAAUGGAACACAAAACUUAAUAGAAACUCACAUUACCAUGCUAAUACAGAAAACAAAUAAAAAUACUAACCAAUUAUGUCAACUGAUUCUUCAGAUUCAAACAACUCAAUAAUUCUGAAUCCUAACAUGUUCAAUAAAGUUAAACAUCAUUCCAAAACAGAUACAAAUUAAACCUAAAACACUGAAGGAAAAAAAAUUUCAAAACAAACAAAAGAUUUUAUGUUUACCUUAUAAGAUUUAUCAAAAGAUCUGCCAUGCUUAUAUUUUUCCUCCAUCACCUUCAGAUAGGCUAGAAUUAUGACUCGAAAUUCCCAUUGAAAGAUCACCUUACAAAGAGCUGCCAUGCUUAUAUUUUCCUCCAUCACCUUCAAUUACUAUUAGGUAUUGUUUAUCAGAUAGGCUAGAACACAUGACCUCUUUAAGUCAGAUUCAACACAGCGCCUAUUUCAGAGCUUAGGAACAGAAAUUUGAAAAAUUAUACUUUUGAAACACAGGGCCUCUUUUAGUUGUUUCAUUUUUUUCUGUAAUUUUUUAACAAUUUUUAUUAAGUAAUUAAUAUGGACCUUUGGAUUUUAGAAAGUUUGAAAUCCAACAGCCCAAAAUGGACACGUGGCCAACGGUAAGAUUUCUGACA